rnacentral:rRNA from 1 species
CUUGCUCCUGAGGUGACGAGCGGCGGACGGGUGAGUAAUGCCUAGGGAUCUGCCCAGUCGAGGGGGAUAACAGUUGGAAACGACUGCUAAUACCGCAUACGCCCUACGGGGGAAAGGAGGGGACCUUCGGGCCUUUCGCGAUUGGAUGAACCUAGGUGGGAUUAGCUAGUUGGUGAGGUAAUGGCUCACCAAGGCGACGAUCCCUAGCUGUUCUGAGAGGAUGAUCAGCCACACUGGGACUGAGACACGGCCCAGACUCCUACGGGAGGCAGCAGUGGGGAAUAUUGCACAAUGGGCGAAAGCCUGAUGCAGCCAUGCCGCGUGUGUGAAGAAGGCCUUAGGGUUGUAAAGCACUUUCAGUAGGGAGGAAAGGCAGUUGUUUAAUAAACAACUGCUGUGACGUUACCUACAGAAGAAGGACCGGCUAACUUCGUGCCAGCAGCCGCGGUAAUACGAGGGGUCCAAGCGUUAAUCGGAAUUACUGGGCGUAAAGCGUACGCAGGCGGUUCAUUAAGCUAGAUGUGAAAUCCCCGGGCUCAACCUGGGAAUUGCAUUUAGAACUGGUGAACUAGAGUCUUGUAGAGGGGGGUAGAAUUUCAGGUGUAGCGGUGAAAUGCGUAGAGAUCUGAAGGAAUACCGGUGGCGAAGGCGGCCCCCUGGACAAAGACUGACGCUCAUGUAC